UUGAAAAAAUUAAUUGGGUAAUUAAUCAUAUGUUAUCUUACUAAUAUAUCGUGUAUAUCAAAUUGAAUUAUUAAUUUCAAAAGUUACUAAAUUAAAAAUAAUGUCUAAUACAUAAUUUUAUUUAGUGAACACUUAUUUUAUAUCAUGUAAAAAUAGAAAGAAAUUAAGGGGCAAUAAGAUCGAGCAGUAAAAGAGAAAUUUCAUGUGGCUUGAUGACAUAUGGGAAUCAUUUGCAAAUAGUUCAAUUUGGUGGCUAUAAAUUAAUUCAGUAAAUGGUGAGGACAUUCAACUUUUUCAUUCAUUGACAAAUUAACUAUCGAUUUUGGAGUUAAAAAAAACUUUUUGGAAGAUAAUACAUUUGCCUUAGAUGAUUAGAAUUCAGCCAAGGAUCGUUACCAAAGGACGUAUAAAACACAGGUGCAUACGAUUCGUGAAAUUUCGACAUUCCGAGGGCCAGUCGUUACAUACACAUAUGACCGUGAGCGAAAAUAUCUAAAAGCGAGUCAGUACUAACAGUGGCUGGUAAUAAGAUGUGACCUUGGCAUUGGUGAUUAAAUAAUAUGUUCGCAUGUAGCAUUGCGUGCGGUUUGUAGUGGUGAUGUCGGUGACAACGACUGGUGAAUGCAGCGUAUACACUUGAUAGAUUAAUAUUUCACCGGAUUUUAAAAAUUUAACAAGGAGAAUGUUGAAAUAUAAACGGGCAAAAGGAUAGAAACGUAGCCCGUAUUUCAAAAUAAACAGGUCCUGUGAUGGCGAAGAUUAAUAUCUUUGUGAUGGCUAAUAUUAUCUAAAAUUAUUAAACUGUAAUUAUAUUUUUUUAAAUGAUAAUAUUUUAGAGGAGAUUGGGGCAGAUUUGAAUGAAAAUUACGUUUUGAUUUAAAAUUUUUUUUUUUUUUGCAUUUAAUUUGAAGUAUAAUUAGGUCCUAUUAGAUCCUCAUAAUAUUUUAACAACACACUGUAACUAUUAAAAAUCCAUAUCACUGAAUAAUAUUUUAUUAUAAAAUGUUAAACACUAGUUACUUUUUAUUCGAAUGUGCCCUAUAGUAGGGGUACAUUUGAAUCCAUGCGGGGCACAUUUGAAUGAGUCUUUAUAUUAAAAAAUGAACACACAUAAAAUUACCAAUAAGUAAAAGUAUUUUAUUUUAAUAAGUUUUCUUAGUAGGUACUUAAUAUAAAAUAAAACAUAACAGUUUCUCUAGAAAAAUUAAAUGUAGAUAGUCGGGUUGA